rnacentral:ncRNA from 1 species
CGGCCUGAGGUCGGACGAGGCUACCCGCUGAAUUUAAGCAUAUUACUAAGCGGAGGAAAAGAAACUAACGAGGAUUCCCUCAG